ACACAUGCAAGUCGAGGGGCAGCAUCAUCAAAGCUUGCUUUGAUGGAUGGCGACCGGCGCACGGGUGAGUAACACGUAUCCAACCUGCCGACAACACUGGGAUAGCCUUUCGAAAGAAAGAUUAAUACCGGAUGGCAUAAUUAUUCCGCAUGGGAUAAUUAUUAAAGAAUUUCGGUUGUCGAUGGGGAUGCGUUCCAUUAGGCAGUUGGCGGGGUAACGGCCCACCAAACCUACGAUGGAUAGGGGUUCUGAGAGGAAGGUCCCCCACAUUGGAACUGAGACACGGUCCAAACUCCUACGGGAGGCAGCAGUGAGGAAUAUUGGUCAAUGGACGAGAGUCUGAACCAGCCAAGUAGCGUGAAGGAUGACUGCCCUAUGGGUUGUAAACUUCUUUUAUACGGGAAUAAAGUGAGCCACGUGUGGCUUUUUGUAUGUACCGUAUGAAUAAGGAUCGGCUAACUCCGUGCCAGCAGCCGCGGUAAUACGGAGGAUCCGAGCGUUAUCCGGAUUUAUUGGGUUUAAAGGGAGCGUAGGCGGGUUGUUAAGUCAGUUGUGAAAGUUUGCGGCUCAACCGUAAAAUUGCAGUUGAUACUGGCGACCUUGAGUGCAACAGAGGUAGGCGGAAUUCGUGGUGUAGCGGUGAAAUGCUUAGAUAUCACGAAGAACUCCGAUUGCGAAGGCAGCUUACUGGAUUGUAACUGACGCUGAUGCUCGAAAGUGUGGGUAUCAAACAGGAUUAGAUACCCUGGUAGUCCACACAGUAAACGAUGAAUACUCGCUGUUGGCGAUAUACAGUCAGCGGCCAAGCGAAAGCAUUAAGUAUUCCACCUGGGGAGUGCGCCGGCA
rnacentral:rRNA from 1 species